AUACGGAGGGUGCAAGCGUUACUCGGAAUCACUGGGCGUAAAGCGCGCGCAGGCGGCCAUUUAAGUUGGAUGUGAAAGCCUACGGCUCAACCGUAGAACUGCAUCCAAAACUAUUUGGCUAGAGUGUGGGAGAGGAAGAUGGAAUUAGUUGUGUAGGGGUAAAAUCCGUAGAGAUAACUAGGAAUACCAAAAGCGAAGGCAAUCUUCUGGAACACUACUGACGCUGAGGCGCGAAGGCGUGGGGAGCAAACAGGAUUAGAAACCCUAGUAGUCC
rnacentral:rRNA from 1 species